CCUACGGGUGGCAGCAGUGAGGAAUAUUGGUCAAUGGGCGCAAGCCUGAACCAGCCAAGUCGCGUGAAGGAUGACGGCCCUACGGGUUGUAAACCUCUUUUGCCGGGGAAUAAGCCUGAGCACGUGUGCCCAUGCGGAGAGUACCCGUGGAUAAAGAAUGGGCUAACUCCUUGCCAGCAGCGGGGGUAAUACGAAGGGUCCGAGUUUUUGCGGAUUUUAUUGGUUUAAAAGGGUGCGCAGGCGGGCUGUUAGGCUGGCGGGAAAAAGUGAGGGCUCACCCCGGUCGAGCCGUCGGAACUGGCAGUCUUGAGUGGGCGAGAAGUAUGCGGAAUGCGUGGUGUAGCGGUGAAAUGCAUAGAUAUCACGAAGAACGCCGAUUGCGAAGGCAGCAUACCGGCGCGCAACUGACGCUGAGGCACGAAAGCGUGGGGAUCGAACAGGAUUAGAUACCCUGGUAGUC
rnacentral:rRNA from 1 species